GAAGGACUUACUCUUCGGAGUGAGAGCGUACACAGGUGCUGCAUGGCUGUCGUCAGCUCGUGUCGUGAGAUGUUGGGUUAAGUCCCGCAACGAGCGCAACCCUGCAUUCAGUUGCCAUCGGUAAGGCCGGGCACUCUGGAUGGACUGCCGGCGACAAGCCGGAGGAAGGUGGGGACGACGUCAAGUCAUCAUGGCCCUUAUGUCCAGGGCGACACACGUGCUACAAUGGCCGGCACAGCGGGAAGCGGAGGGGCGACCCUGAGCGGAUCCCUUGAAAGCCGGUCCCAGUUCGGAUUGCAGUCUGCAACUCGACUGCAUGAAGUUGGAAUCGCUAGUAAUCGCGGAUCAGCCAAGCCGCGGUGAAUACGUUCCCGGGCCUU
rnacentral:rRNA from 1 species